rnacentral:tRNA from 2 species
GCCGGAGUGGCGGAAUUGGCAGACGCACCAGACUCAAAAUCUGGCGGGUGGCGACACCCGUGGGGGUUCGACUCCCCCCUCCGGCACCA